rnacentral:rRNA from 1 species
CACUGACAUUAGAUACCCGCGUAGUCCAGGGUGUAAACGCUGCGGGCUUGGUGUUGGGGGUCCUUUGAGGGCGCCCAGUGCCGGAGAGAAGUUGUUAAGCCUGCUGCUUGGGGAGUACGUCCGCAAGGAUGAAACUUAAAGGAAUUGGCGGGGGAGCACCGCAACGGGAGGAGCGUGCGGUUCAAUUGGAUUCAACGCCGGACGACUCACCAGGAGCGACGGUUACAUGAAGGCCAGGCUGAUGACCUUGCCUGAUUUUCCG